rnacentral:rRNA from 1 species
CGCCAGACUCCUACGGGAGGCAGCAGUGAGGAAUAUUGGUCAAUGGGCGGGAGCCUGAACCAGCCAAGUCGCGUGAGGGAUGACGGCCCUAUGGGUUGUAAACCUCUUUUGUCAGGGAGCAACGCCGGCUACGUGUAGCCGGACUGAGAGUACCUGAAGAAAAAGCAUCGGCUAACUACGUGCCAGCAGCCGCGGUAAUACGUAGGGGGCAAGCGUUAUCCGGAUUUACUGGGUGUAAAGGGAGCGUAGACGGCAGCGCAAGUCUGAAGUGAAAUCCCAUGGCUUAACCAUGGAACUGCUUUGGAAACUGUGCAGCUGGAGUGCAGGAGAGGUAAGCGGAAUUCCUAGUGUAGCGGUGAAAUGCGUAGAUAUUAGGAGGAACACCAGUGGCGAAGGCGGCUUACUGGACUGUAACUGACGUUGAGGCUCGAAAGCGUGGGGAGCAAACAGGAUUAGAUACCCUCGUA